AUGGAGGACGCGGCGGCGGCGGCCGUCCCCGGAGCGCACGCGUCGGCGAGCCGCCGAUCCGACGACCGGCAAGCGCCGCUGUGGAGUCCCGGCCUCCGGGAGCAGCAGAGAAGCCCCGACGAUCUCAUCAGCCACCUGCCCGACGACGUCCUCGGCGCCGUCGUCUCGCUCCUCCCCACCAAGGACGGCGCGCGCACGCAGGUCCUCUCGCGCCGGUGGCGCCCCCUCUGGCGCUCGUCCGCGGCGCCGCUCAACCUGUCGAUCGACCGCCGCUUCUGCGCGGGCGACGCGCGCAAGCACGUCGCCGUCGUCUCCCGGAUCCUCUCCGACCACCCCGGCCCCGCCCGCCGGUUCUCGCUCCGCCGGGCCUUCCCGCCAGGCCAGAUCGACCGCUGGCUCCGCGCCGGGUCGCUCGCCCGCCUGCAGGAUCUCGAAAUCGCCUACACCAGAGUGCACGGGGACGCAUGCCACCCGAUGCCGCCGUCCGCGCUCUGCUUCGCGCCGACGCUCCGCGCGGCCAAGUUCGGCGGCUGUGAGUUCCCCGAGUUGACCGCGCCGUCCCCGAAGUUUCCGCGCCUCAAGCAGCUCACCCUGUGCCGCGUUAGCAUCUCGGAGGACUCUCUCCACGGCAUGCUCUCCGGCUGCAUUGCCUUGGAAAGCCUUUCGCUGGACCGGAACAUCGGCAUCGGUCGCCUCUGCAUCAGCUCCCCGACGGUUAGGCGCUUCAGCUUCUCGCCUCAUCGGGACAAACAAGGUAUCGUCACUUGCCAAGAGCUGCUCGUCCAGGACGUUCCAUGCCUUGAGAGGUUAAUACUACAUGAUUCACACAUUGGUCCGGCGACCAUCCGGAUAACUGGGGCACCUAAACUGGAGCUAUUGGGGUUGUUGUCUCAUGGCAUAUCUACACUCAAGCCUGGAACCACAGUUCUCCAGAAAACGAUCGAUGUCAGCUUGACAACCAUAAUGCAUAAAGUGAAGAUUUUGGUUGUUGACUCUAUUGGCCCCAAUCUAGAUGCAAUUGUUGGCCUACUCAAGUGCUUCACUUUCUUAGAGAGACUAUACGUCAUUUCCCACCCACAGGAGGAUAUGAAUAAUGUGCGCAAGUAUGACCCACUGGAUCCAAUUGAAUGCCUAGAACUCCAUCUAAAAAAAGUGGUAUUGAAGAAUUACGAUGGUAACCGGACACAAGUUAUUCACUUUGCCCAGUUCUUUGUUUUGAAUGCAAAAGUGCUCAAGGAAAUGGAAAUUGGAGUUGUCAACCGCUGCAACAGCAAAUGGAUGCGCUUUCAACGUAAACGGUUACAAGUGGGGAAUAGAGCUUCUCGAGAUGCACAGAUUGAACUAAAAUGGGAUACAAAGAAGAGCUUCAAAUACCAUGGUUUUUCCGAGGCUGAUCCCUUUGACAUGUCCUCAUGUUGA
rnacentral:rRNA from 1 species